CUCCCUCACCUGUGGUUCAUCCAAAGUGAUUAUUUACUCUAGAAGGAUAUGAUUACCGUGAAAAUGGUUAAAUUACCUAUUCCGGCUUGUCCUACUACCCAAGAAAGGCGAAGGAAAAGCAUUACACCCCAAAUCAUUAUUAGAAUACUCACCAUCGCACCAAGACUCCUUUGAUCCAGCCAAAUUUAACGAAAGUGUCUGGGACGACCUCGUUGGCUUUCUCUACUUGAGGCUAUUUGCCAAAGAGAUUGAAUUACAAAGACGAAGCCAAACAAAACGGUUGCUUAACUAGUACAAGCAAAUAAAGGGCGUGCGUAAAUAAGACUGCCGCAAUUUGGAGUGACCCCAGCAUCACGGUUCCGUGUUCAACGGAACGCCCGAGAAAGGUGAAAUGAUUCAUCAGAGAAGGUAGGAAAAUCUGAUACUUAUUACUCCUAUAAAAGGUAUCGCUGCUUGUUAUUACGUCGUAGCAGAUCAAAGUGCGCUAUAGCGGGAACAUAUUCGUGCUGAAGGAAAACGUAUUUUUGAUUUUAUUCUUCUGAUAUUCUAUUUCCAUUUUUAAUGGCCAGUGGCGAAAAUCUAGGAGACGGGCACACCCUCAAAACAACUUGUCCAUAAUUAGACGUGCCGACGUUUGAUGGUCAGACAAUAGGGAGAUGUUUUCAAACGUCAGUAUUUUUCACAUCGAUUACGUGUUUCCAAUAAGUGGAAAACUUGGAAAAAAUCAGGUGUGUUGUAACGAUCAGAGCGGGAUCGUGUCGAUUGAUGGGACAGUGGUUAAUUUAAAUUGAAUGCGCUGCCUCCGAAUACGCAAUUUCUAUUCGAACGGCGUAUUUUCACACGAGUAUUUAAGUAACACCGUUUUAAUUCUGCGGACUUUGGCUGCAAAAUAAAAGGGCACCCAUUUUCCUUUGAAUUAUGAUGAAAGAAAAUGGGAACUCUUUUUGUUUAAAAAAAAACCCAUAGAAAUCGGAGAUCGCAAACAUUUUCUCUAGUGUGAAUUGACAAAAAAACCUUAAGUUCGGGAAGCUCGCAUAGUCAUUACGCAUGGUAUCAAAUGACGAGGACGUUUCUAUGAAAUUUAAGUUAGAAUCAUUUUACGACGUAAGACCUUAUAGGGAUGGGUGUGUUUUUUCUUAGCUAGUAUAGAGCAAUCUAUUCCCUUUUUUUUUUCUGUACCAGGUCAUUAGACUUGUGGGAAGGGCUGCUUUUUUUUUGUCAAGUUCAACAGCCGUUAGAGCAAUAGUCGUUGCAAAGUGGGGGAGAAAACCCGGCGUUCUACGUUUUUUUCUAGUCACCUCCUUUGGCUAAUUUUCUUACAGUACGUCCGAGUGCGUCGACAGCUUUACUUUAAAUUUUGUUUUACUUUUGGCUUCAGAAGUUCGCGUGUGGUCGUUGCUCUCGAUUUGGGGGUAUAGUCACUGUCUGACGGAUUACUUGCAGUUGUGGCUUUUGUUUUUCUUUGUUUCACGGAAAACCAAUAAAGGCUCAAUGACCGCAAACUAUCCAGGAUUGCACGACUUCAUUAUUUAAAUUGUUCCGGUACGCUAGUUACGUGACGUCGUAUUCAAAAAAAGAAGUAAACAAAAUUACCUUUUCGUGAAUGGUUGCAUUGUGCAGUUCGUCCAGGGUCGGUCUAUGGCCGGCUUGAAUUGAAAGGAUGUUGCGGUAGUUGUCGAGCCGAGGCAACGCUUCACGGGUCAGUUGGUGGCGUAAGCUUUUGGUAGCGGCGUAUGUCCGUUGACCACUUUCGUUCAUCGUCAUGUAGGUAUUGCCUUGUGACAAAAGAGCAGUCGGAGAGGACGCCCGUUCACCUUCGUUGGACGCGGCCGAGCCAGGCCGUUCGCCCAUUUCGAUCGCCUCCGAGCUAUUGCCCUUCUGGAAUAUAAUAAUCGUUCAAGCAGACCGCAUUAGAUUCAAUAUUUUAUGAUUAAAAAAUAGGAGAACGUGUAUGUAGAGAACGAAAAAGAAAAAUGGUGGUUAGCAGAAAGUGUAGCGUACUUCCGAAUCAUCGCCAUCUUCUUCGGAAUUUCCGCCUCCAGAGUCGACUCGGUUCACUUUGAAACGAUUGCGUUUGGAUAAUGCGUCAGUCAUGAUCUACGAACCUAAAUAUACACACAAGCAAACAAAAAACAAAACAUGUACAAUUCGAUAAUCAAUAUUCGCCAUUGUAGGUACAAUCCCUGUAGAGACAGUGGGCAUUUUACGAUGCCAUUUACAGUUGGGAUGGGAUCGAUAGAAAUGUCGAAUGAUAUUGCUUGUAUCAUAAAAAAAUCACAAAGGUGCAUAUAGAACAAUCGAUGUCACUAGGAUUUCGAAGAGAACCUAAUACAUCUUUAAUGUAGCGUCCUGUCAGAAAUCCUACUUCUUUAAAAUUUUAGGAAUAAAAGAAAAAUGCUGUUGUCUUUGUAAUCAUGGAAGAAUGACUGGCAAAGUUUGAACAACGCUCGAUCGCCUCAAUCGCUUAAACUGAAUCAACACUGUUAGAUUCAACUGCUGCUUUCACUUUUCAUAGUAAUUCAACUUAAUCCUAGACAACUAAUCACUGUAAAAAAAUAAAAUAAAUAUUGAUGAUAAUUGUUAGGUUUACCAGCAAGGAUGGCAGAAACGGAUAAGUUGAAAGCGUCUGAUUAGAAGUACGAGAAAGACACGUGGGGCACUUGAAGUUAACGGCACAGCUACGAAUAGUGAGACCGGUAGCCGGUUAACGAAGAGGAACAGACACAAGCAUGCAGACCGACCGGUAGGCGAAGACUACAGACUGACGAAGCUCAAAGUGACAGCGUUGGCUGUUUAUAAAGCGAAAGGCCCCUCCAGCUCCAGCACUCUCUCACACUCGACGGAAACACCAGAUAGGAUGGUGCCAGCCCCCUCUUGCUUCUAUCCAAAAAGAUCCGGGGGUUUCUAUUUAGCCACCCUUUUGUGUAUCCAAAAAGAGGAGAUGCUGGAGGCUGUCGAAUUUUUAAACAUAAAAACCAUUCUGAAAACAACAGGCCAAUUUAAGGUAUGCUGCGAUGAAGAAAGCCACUGCCAAUCAUCUUGUCGAGAGAAUGAAAACGUUUGAUAUGCAACAAGAACAACUCGGGACAAUAAGCAGGCAUCAAUAAAAACGAGGAAAAGUCAAAACUGUGCUAAGCAAAAAUUAAAAAUCUAAAUUCAUUCGACCUCUUUUAGUCCUGUUCAAAUAUGGAUGAAUCCUCCCUAUCUUGGCUGUCACAUUUCAGAAAGUUGGCGUUUCAUCACGGCAUACGGAGCAGUAGGUACAUCUUUUUAUCCCGUGGGAUAGGCAAGAACGUGACGCAAAUGUUUUCCUCCUCAUGUAGAGACUGCACAUUUGAAACUCGACUGUCUAUAAUUAGAAUUUCAUUCGAAAAAAAAAACACACUUUCCUAGACAUUAGAGUCAGACAUCUUUUCAAAGCAGCCGCCCGGCAAACGUGAGAGUUACCUAGCGAGCAAUUCUUGUACUUCGUUGACAAACAAAAGAAUAGCGCCUAUUCUUAGUUAGCACUUAGCAGUAUGACAGAUCAUGAAGUCAACAAUCUUUUGGAACCGAAAACUAUCUAGAUGUUUCCUUUUUAGAUUCCAUUAUUUAAUGUGUGUCUACGUGUAUUUUCCAGCACAAGGUUACCUUGAACUCGGAGACGCAGAUCCCUUUAGUUGAUUGUUGAGAUUAACAGCUUUCCAUGGUACGUAUCUAACGAGUAGUAUUACGAACAAGUUACUGUGCACGUUUCACACGCGAUCAAUUAUUGUAUCUGUAUCUUUAUCAUCAAGGGAAGUUCUAUGGAAUACGUUUCCAAACGGGAAGUGCGGGUGGUUUAUGUAUUUGUUUUGUUACCAUGGUUACUCUAUUUUGGUUUAGAAAAGACAAGAAUAGCACGUUUACCCUUUGCAUGUUCGUUGCCAUCAAUGAUGUCACCAGUCAAAUAUUGGGGGGAGAUCUCUAAUUUCGGCUCAGCUUGUUCCUUGUGAUCGAGUUGUCACGUCAUAUGAUGAGUAUGCUUCAUCGUUGAAAGGUAUCGUUUUCUCCCACGGCCCAUAAUUAAAUUAAAACUCGUGAAAUUUGCAGGAAAAAAAAAACAUUUAAAAAAAUGUUGGGUGUGGUCAAUGUAGAGAGCACAUUGAUAUUUGAGAUUCCGAAAUUUUUUGAAUAAAUUAUAAUGUUUCAAACCCUAGAAAUUUUUCGAGGUCGAAGGAACUGUUUUAUGAUGGCAGCCGAAGUGCAUGUUGUCCUGUUAUCUUAAAUCUUUUGCUAGUGCUUUUCGUAAUUCUGUGGCGUAAUCUAGGAAGCAAUCGUCUGCCUCAUAAAACAGAACCAAACAAUUUGGCAUUUAGUUUUAAGACGACAGGCAUUUUAAUUUGCUAAGCAAUCCGGCAUACUCGUUUCUUAAUUUGUUUGGCGUAUUCCGUGUACGAUAAAAAGAAAACACUUUACCACUCAUUGGAACGCUAGGAGGUAGUAAAGUACCUAACGGAUAAUCGGUAUUUUGAAAAGAUGUCGAAUGUAUUUUGGGGUUGAUCUUGCAUAUUACGUCAUAUCUAGCUCAAACUCACCUGCAAACAUUAUCAUCGGCAAUAAAACCAGGUGAUAAAAUAAAUUAAAUAUAGGUAGCCGCAAUAAAGUAAUAGUCGUGAUGACGGGCAGAUUUUGCCAAGCUCUAAUUAAAUUUCGUUCGUUGUUUGACCUACGUCUUACUUACUUGUAUAUUAAUAGAUACAAAGGGUUAAGGGAAGAGCGGUUAGAAAGCAUCUUACUUGAAUUUUUUGGAAGACCUACGUAGGGCUAACUAACGAAAUAUGCAGAUGUGAAGAACUGAAGUUUUCCACGAAAAAGAAUCCCUGCAAUUUUCUUGGCUGUGUAAUUUCAACUAGGGCUUUCCUGUGCGUGACGUUCAUCAAUUGUGGUAAGAUAACUGGAACCAUCAACUUUAAUUAACGUGUGUAAAUGUAUGUCUUGAUCACGUUUUCAUUUCACCCGCACUACCGCAAUUUUUUGGUCAGCGUCUGGGUUGACAUUUUUUUGUGGAAAAGCCACUCCAGAAGCUUUAAUUGGUUAGGCAAUUGCAAACGGUGGUUACGACACGACUUACGUGAAUCACAGAACGACACAGAAAGGCAUGUUUUGUAAUUCAGCCAACUUCACGACGGCGUGCCGUAACACACGUUCUUCCGACAAUCACCACUAGACAUGAGCAGUGACCUUAAAAUAUAAGCAAGUUUUAUUUCAAUCAUAACGACCAACGCCAUCUAAAGAAGGGAAACGCAGCUAAAGGGUAAGGAAUAAUAAAUUUUGAAAGAGAAAAAAGCCUCUUAACGUGAAGUGACUCGCUCGCUGGUGGGUGCAUAAGUUAGUCUGAGAGCUAGAGAAAACUGAAAAUGAAUUUUGUAUGCCAUGCACUGAUGUUUGCAGAAUUCAUUAAAAAGUAUUGUACGUGAGUCAAUUGUAAAACUAAAGGAGUACAAAAACAAGAGAUUCAGUUGCACAGCACACUUGUUCACGAUUGGGAAUUGACUUCGGGAUAGUUGCUGAUUGCAAGUGUUCUGAGAAUGACUUCUGAAAACCUUUUCGAAAAUUAACCGAUUGGGAUUCUACUUUGAUCGCAACUGAUAUCAUUUUUACGAUUUUUUUCUAAUACGCGAUAGGAAUUCAAUCAGAAAAGAGUAAAGCCGUUGGAAACCAACGACUUCUCAAGUCAGGGAGUAGCAACCAAUGGAAGCCCGGUUGUAAAUUUAGUUUGUCACUUUAUGAUAUGCAAAAUUCAUACUUUUUGUAACUUAAUAGAUAGCUUACUAUUAGGGCCCAACCUGAUCCCAGCUGGUGCGCUAGUGCAACAAAAGCACCCAGGCGCGCCAGUACUUCACGUAUCGAAUUUCGAGUUUUUCCCCCGUGUUUAACUUUAGCUUCAACCUAAGGGUGGCGUUCUUGCGUAUUUCAACAGCUUUAUAUUGUUUACUUUUUAAUUUUUAUAUGUACAAUCAAAUCCGUAUUCUAUUUCUCACUUUGCUUUUGUUUUAAAUUUUAAUGAAAGUGUGUAUCAGUAUUUACAAAAAUACCGUGCGGCAUUUUACCAUCGGUUUCCGCGUUUGACCCAAUCAAUUGUCUUCCUUUGUCGCCUGCAUCACGUGUGUCGCAAGCAGACAAUGAAUUUAAACUAACAAUAUUCAAGGAAACUGAAAGAGUUGCCACUGAGCGUUACCGGUGAUGAUAAAAUCGAUGAACAAGCCGUGGUUUCAAGCAAAGUUGUUAUAGCGCAACUACUUUAAUAUUUUAGAUUACUCAAAAACCAUAAAUUUCACGCUAAAUUGAAAAUCAUUUUCGUUAUUAUAAUUAAAUUUUGAAUCAAAAUCAUGCAUAGUUAUCUGUGUUUAUUAAUUAUUUAAGAAAAAUCGAAGAACUUUGAUGUGUCGCUCGAGCGCUGUAGCGUACUGGCGCGCCACAUCAAUAUAUAUGGCCAAUAGAAAUUUUAAGUCCGACAAAAAAAUAAGCCCGACUUAUCCUUUAAAAAAAAAUAAUAUCAUUAAAAAAAGAUUGCUAUGUAUAAUUUAGAUUCCAAAUUUAACGAGGAUACGAAAAUAAACUGUUUUUACAUUAAUUAGAGUUUAUAGUUUUUGAAUAAUCAAAGAAGUUUGAUGUGUCAUGCUAGUGCUAUAGCGUACUGGCGCGCUAGUAAUGGUUACGAUUCGCCCCUAAUUAUAAUAUUUUAGAUUGCUCAAAAACUAUAAACUCUACAUAAAAACAACUUCCAUUUUUCGUCUUUCUUGGUUAAUUUUGAAUCAGAAUCAUAUGUAGUUAUCUAGAUUUAAUGAUAUUAUUUUUUAA